AGAGGGAUUGGCAGGGGGCAGUUUUGCCAUCAGAGUGGAGGUGAGGGGUCUGUUGUGGUGGCAGUCAGCAGCUGCCUGAGGAUCUGGGAGAGACCUAGCAGGCAGUGAGGACAGUGGAUGGCAAGGGGCCUCAGAGCUCUGUGACCUCAUAAUUUUCCUGUGGGACCACAAAGGUGGCUUCCACAGUGCAUAGUGGUUAUCAGCUGUGCCUCCCUCUUAGAGGUCCUCGGAGUCCAGAGUCCUCGAAGGGAAAUCUGACACAAAGAAGCAGGUGUGAGACCGGCCCCUUUCUCCCAUGCCUUAGACAGGGCUCCAGGGACUGCUUCAGGGGAGAUGUCAGAGGGCAGCAGGGACCGGGAAGGGAGGAAGAAAGCAGAGUGACAGUGAGAGGUGGGAAAACUACAAGAGGAAUUGUUUGUACGCUUGGAUCUGGACUUUUAGAACUGGUCAGGACCUGACAGAUCCUCCAGCCCAGUUCUCCCGGCUCUCAAACACUGGCAUCAUUUAUAAUUCCCUGGAAAAUCACCAGCAGGUAAAUGAAGGAGAAAAGAAAAGAACAAAAUCCACCGGGAACCAGAGACUUCCAGGCUCCAAAGACAGGCAAUCUCCACCAGGAAGGCUGGAGUGCAGCUGAGGUCUGGCUUUAGCCAAGGAGAGCACCUUGAAACCUGGCAGAGAAUUACAGUGAACCAGAAGACUAAGUGAAGCAUGAACUGGCAUAAUAUGCUUUCCUGGCUGAAAACCAUGAAUGACCCAGAAUAGUUCAUAUCUUUGGAAGAUCCUUAUUUUCCUUGUAAAUGAAAGUCAUGCAUUUGGAAUAAUAACAUGAAAUGAUGUGAAUGAGACGGGUUUCGCCGUGUUGGCCGAGCUGGUCUCCAGCUCCCGACCGCGAGUGAUCUGCCCGCUUCGGCCUCCCGAGGUGCCGGGAGUGCAGACGGAGUCUCGCUCACUCAGUGCUCAGUCUUGCCGGGGCUGGAGUGCAGUGGCGUGAUCUCGGCUCGCUACAACCUCCACCUCCCAGCUGCCUGCCUUGGCCUCCCAAAGUGCUGAGAUUGCAGCCUCUGCCCAGCCGCCACCCCGUCUGGGAAGUGAGGAGCGUCUCUGCCUGGCCGUCCAUCAUCUGAGAUGUGAGGAGCCCCUCUGCCUGGCAGCCCAGUCGGGGAAGUGAGGAGCACCUCUUCCCGGCCGCCAUCCCAUCUAGGAAGUGAGGAGCGUCUCUGCCCUGCCGCCCAUCGUCUGAGAUGUGGGGAGCGCCGCUGCCCCGCCGCCCCGCCGCCCCGUCUGGGAUAUGAGGAGCACCUCUGUCUGGCCGCGACCCCGUCUGGGAACUGAGGAGUGUCUCUGCCCGACCGCCACCCCGUCUGGGAGGUGAGGAGCGUCUCUGCCCGGCCACCCCGUCUGAGAAGUGAGGAGCCCCUCCGCCCGGCAGCUGCCCCGUCUGGGAAGUGAGGAGCCCCUCUGCCCUGCAGCCGCCCAGUCUGGGAAGUGAGGAGCGUCUCCGCCCAGCAGCCGCCCCGUCUGGGAGGGAGGUGGGGGGCAGCCCCCGCCCGGCCAGCUGCCCCAUCUGGGAGGUGAGGGGCGCCUCUGCCCGGCCGCCCCGUCUGGGAAGUGAAGAGCCCCUCUGCCCGGCUGCCACCCCGUCUGGGAGGUGUACCCAACAGCUCAUUGAGAACGGGCCAUGAUGACGAUGGCGGUUUUGUCGAAUAGAAAAGGGGGAAAUGUGGGGAAAAGAGAGAUCAGAUUGUUACUGUGUCUGUGUGGAAAGAAGUAGACAUGGGAGACUCCAUUUUGUUCUGUACUAAGAAAAUUCUUCUGCCUUGGGAUGCUGUUAAUCUAUAACCUUACCCCCAACCCCGUGCUCUCUGAAACAUGUGCUGUGUCCACUCAGGGUUAAAUGG
rnacentral:lncRNA from 10 species